CUGAAAGUAGCUCAGUUGUUUAGAGCAUGGUGCUAAUAAUGCCAAGGUUGCUGGUUAAAUCCCAGUACAGG